UACGUAGGGGGCGAGCGUUGUCCGGAAUCAUUGGGCGUAAAGCGCGUGUAGGCGGCUCGAUAAGUCUGCUGUGAAAGUCCAGGGCUCAACCCUGGAAAGCCGGUGGAUACUGCCGGGCUAGAGUCCGGAAGAGGCGAGUGGAAUUCCUGGUGUAGCGGUGGAAUGCGCAGAUAUCAGGAGGAACACCCGUGGCGAAGGCGGCUCUCUGGGACGGUACUGACGCUGAUGCGCGACAGCGUGGGGAGCAAACAGG
rnacentral:rRNA from 1 species